CGAGGGCAUUUAGCUAAAACUAAACAUUACUUUGGAUUAUUUGCUGUUUUUUCGUCUGUAUUUCAUUACAUAUAUGGUCAAAGUGUUAACUUUUUUCACUUUAGCACUGGAAGAUGGAUCCUGUUUCUUAGUUUGAAAUCGGUUACUUUUCAAGCUUGACUGACUUUAAAGCAUGCGUCGUGGAGACUGGUUGCCUUGGCCUGGUGAGGCUCAGCGACGAGACGAAAGGAGGGCCGAAGCUAGAUUGGCCGAGGGUCUGCAGAGACUCGACCAGGCUAAACAUUACCACCUCAACACACUGGCCAGAGAACAGCGCAGACUUCACAGAGACCUCAUCUCCAUCAAAACAGGUAAUCCCUGGAAAAGAGGACUCCAAAGUUUAGGGCUACGACCCUCCAACCAUGAUGUUGUUCGCCCUGCUGCAUCUUACAAGAGGACCCUGUUACCCAUCAUCCCCAUGGCAGGAAAGGAGA